rnacentral:rRNA from 1 species
AGAUUGAACGCUAGCGGGAUGCUUUACACAUGCAAGUCGAACGGCAGCGCGGACUUCGGUCUGGCGGCGAGUGGCGAACGGGUGAGUAAUAUAUCGGAACGUGCCCAGUAGCGGGGGAUAACUACGCGAAAGCGUGGCUAAUACCGCAUACGCCCUACGGGGGAAAGGGGGGAUUCUUCGGAACCUCUCACUAUUGGAGCGGCCGAUAUCAGAUUAGCUAGUUGGUGAGGUAAAGGCUCACCAAGGCGACGAUCUGUAGCUGGUUUGAGAGGACGACCAGCCACACUGGGACUGAGACACGGCCCAGACUCCUACGGACGGCAGCAGUGGGGAAUUUUGGACAAGUGGGGGAAACCUGAU